rnacentral:rRNA from 1 species
UCACCCUGCAUGCACCGAUCUUGUCAGACCUCAUCAGAUCUAGGGAGAUAAGCAGGUUUGAGCUCGGUUUGUUUUGGGAUGGGAGACUGCCUGGGAAAACCAAAU